rnacentral:ncRNA from 1 species
CGGCCAGGUGCCCGGAGUCUCGUCCGGGAUAAUAGGGAAACAGGUGAAAAUCCUGUACGGUCCCGCCGCUGUAAAGCAGGAAUGGCUUUUCAUAUCCACUGUGCCCGCCGGGCAUGGGAAGGGAAAAGCCGUGCUGAUGGCUAAGUCAGAAGACCUGCCUGGCUG